UGAGGAAUAUUGGUCAAUGGGCGAAAGCCUGAACCAGCCAAGUAGCGUGCAGGAUGACGGCCCUAUGGGUUGUAAACUGCUUUUAGGCGGGGGUAAAGUGCCGGACGUGUUCCGGUAUUGCAAGUACCGCCAGAAAAAGGACCGGCUAAUUCCGUGCCAGCAGCCGCGGUAAUACGGAAGGUCCAGGCGUUAUCCGGAUUUAUUGGGUUUAAAGGGAGCGCAGGCCGCCGGGCAAGCGUGUUGUGAAAUGCAGUCGCUCAACGUCUGCACUGCAGCGCGAACUGCCCAGCUUGAGUGCGCGCAACGUUGGCGGAAUUCGCCGUGUAGCGAUGAAAUGCUUAGAUAUGGCGAAGAACUCCGAUUGCGAAGGCAGCUGACGGGUGCGUAACUGACGCUCAUGCUCGAAAGUGCGGGUAUCGAACAGGAUUAGAUACCCUGGUAGU
rnacentral:rRNA from 1 species